rnacentral:rRNA from 1 species
CCCAGACUCCUACGGGAGGCAGCAGUCGGGAAUAUUGCGCAAUGGAGGAAACUCUGACGCAGUGACGCGGCGUAUAGGAAGAAGGUUUUCGGAUUGUAAACUAUUGUCGUUAGGGAAGAUAAAAGACAGUACCUAAGGAGGAAGCUCCGGCUAACUACGUGCCAGCAGCCGCGGUAAUACGUAGGGGGCGAGCGUUAUCCGGAUUCACUGGGUGUAAAGGGAGCGUAGACGGCCAUGCAAGCCAGGGGUGAAAGCCCGGGGCCCAACCCCGGGACUGCCCUUGGAACUGUGCGGCUAGAGUGCGGGAGGGGCAGGCGGAAUUCCUGGUGUAGCGGUGAAAUGCGUAGAUAUCAGGAGGAACACCGGCGGCGAAGGCGGCCUGCUGGACCGCGACUGACGUUGAGGCUCGAAAGCGCGGGGAGCGAACAGGAUUAGAUACCCCUGUAAAU